AGCGGCGGACGGGUGAGUAACGCGUGGGUAACCUGCCUCAUACAGGGGGAUAACAGUCAGAAAUGACUGCUAAUACCGCAUAAGACCACGGUACCGCAUGGUACAGUGGUAAAAACUCCGGUGGUAUGAGAUGGACCCGCGUCUGAUUAGGUAGUUGGUGGGGUAACGGCCCACCAAGGCGACGAUCAGUAGCCGACCUGAGAGGGUGACCGGCCACAUUGGGACUGAGACACGGCCCAG
rnacentral:rRNA from 1 species